rnacentral:rRNA from 1 species
AGAGUUUGAUCCUGGCUCAGGAUGAACGCUGGCGGCGUGCCUAACACAUGCAAGUCGAGCGAGAAAUAAAGAAAUGAAGCUUCGGUAGAUUUUCUUUAUGGAAAGCGGCGGACGGGUGAGUAACGCGUAGGCAACCUGCCCUGUACAGGGGGAUAGCCACCCGAAAAGGUGAUUAAUACCCCAUAACGCAAGAGAUACACAUGUAUCACUUGUCAAAGAUUUAUCGGUAUAGGAUGGGCCUGCGUCUGAUUAGCUAGUUGGUAAGGUAACGGCUUACCAAGGCAACGAUCAGUAGCCGACCUGAGAGGGUGAUCGGCCACAUUGGAACUGAGACACGGUCCAAACUCCUACGGGAGGCAGCAGUGGGGAAUAUUGCACAAUGGGCGCAAGCCUGAUGCAGCAACGCCGCGUGAAGGAUGAAGGCCUUCGGGUUGUAAACUUCUGUCCUAGGGGAAGAAACAAAUGACAUUACCCUUGGAGGAAGCCCCGGCUAACUACGUGCCAGCAGCCGCGGUAAUACGUAGGGGGCGAGCGUUAUCCGGAAUUAUUGGGCGUAAAGAGUGCGUAGGUGGCACCUUAAGCGCAGGGUUUAAGGCAAUGGCUCAACCAUUGUUCGCCUUGCGAACUGGGGUGCUUGAGUGCAGGAGGGGAAAGUGGAAUUCCUAGUGUAGCGGUGAAAUGCGUAGAUAUUAGGAGGAACACCAGUGGCGAAGGCGACUUUCUGGACUGUUACUGACACUGAGGCACGAAAGCGUGGGGAGCAAACAGGAUUAGAUACCCUGGUAGUCCACGCCGUAAACGAUGAGCACUAGGU